GUCAAGAUGUCCGAGUGGUUAAGGAGUGUGACUCGAAUUAUAAGACGAAAUCACAUGGGUUCGCCCGCGCAGGUUCGAAUCCUGUUCUUGACG